UUAUUGGAGAGUUUGAUUCUGGCUCAGGACGAACGCUGGCGGCGUGCUUAACACAUGCAAGUCGAACGAUUAAGACCAUCUUCGGAUGGUGUAUAAAGUGGCGAACGGGUGAGUAACACGUGAGCAACCUGCCCCUAGGUAUGGGAUAGCGUCGGGAAACCGACGGUAAUACCAAAUACACUGCUUGGAUCGCAUGAUCUAAGUUGGAAAGAUUUAUCGCCAAGGGAUGGGCUCGCGGGCUAUCAGCUAGUUGGUAGGGUAACGGCCUACCAAGGCUAUGACGGUUAGCCGGCCUGAGAGGGUGAUCGGCCACAUUGGGACUGAGAUACGGCCCAGACUCCUACGGGAGGCAGCAGUGGGGAAUUUUGCACAAUGGAGGAAACUCUGAUGCAGCGACGCCGCGUGAAGGAGGAAGGUCUUCGGAUUGUAAACUUCUUUUAUUAGCCAGUAAGCGUAAGUGAACAGCUAAUGAAUAAGCACCGGCUAACUACGUGCCAGCAGCCGCGGUAAUACGUAGGGUGCAAGCGUUGUCCGGAAUUAUUGGGCGUAAAGACCUCGUAGGUGGUUUGGCACGUCUGAUGUGAAAACUAUAGGCUCAACCUGUAGCUUGCAUCGGGUACGGCUAGGCUAGAGUAUGGUAGAGGAGAUUGGAAUUCCUGGUGUAACGGUGGAAUGUGUAGAUAUCAGGAAGAACACCAAUGGCGAAGGCAGAUCUCUGGGCCAAAACUGACGCUGAGGAGGGAAAGCGUGGGGAGCAAACAGGCUUAGAUACCCUGGUAGUCCACGCCGUAAACGUUGGGAACUAGGUGCUGGAAAUUUUGUACGUUUUCAGUGCCGUAGCAAACGCAUUAAGUUCCCCGCCUGGGGAGUACGGCCGCAAGGCUAAAACUCAAAGAAAUUGACGGGGACCCGCACAAGCAGUGGAGCAUGCGGAUUAAUUCGAUGCAACGCGAAGAACCUUACCAGCGCUUGACAUAUAGCGGAAAGAUUCCAGAGAUGGUUUCCCUCCUUCGGGACUGCUAUACAGGUGGUGCAUGGUUGUCGUCAGCUCGUGUCGUGAGAUGUUGGGUUAAGUCCCUCAACGAGCGCAACCCUUGUCCUAUGUUACUAGCAGUUCGGCUGAGGACUCAUAGGAGACCGCCGGGGUCAACUCGGAGGAAGGAGGGGAUGACGUCAAAUCAUCAUGCCCCUUACGUGCUGGGCUUCACGCAUGCUACAAUGGCUGGUACAAAGAGCUGCAAGAGCGCAAGCUGGAGCGAAUCUCAAAAAGCCAGUCUCAGUUCAGAUUGGGGUCUGCAACUCGACCCCAUGAAGGUGGAAUUGCUAGUAAUCGUGGAUCAGCAACGCCACGGUGAAUACGUUCCCGGGUCUUGUACACACCGCCCGUCAAGUCAUGAAAGUUGGUAACACCCGAAGCCGGUGGCCUAACCCUUUUGGG
rnacentral:rRNA from 1 species